rnacentral:rRNA from 1 species
UACGUAGGGUGCGAGCGUUGUCCGGAAUUACUGGGCGUAAAGAGCUCGUAGGCGGUCUGUCGCGUCUGCUGUGAAAUCCCGGGGCUCAACCCCGGGCUUGCAGUGGAUACGGGCAGACUAGAGUUCGGUAGGGGAGACUGGAAUUCCUGGUGUAGCGGUGAAAUGCGCAGAUAUCAGGAGGAACACCGGUGGCGAAGGCGGGUCUCUGGGCCGAUACUGACGCUGAGGAGCGAAAGCGUGGGGAGCGAACAGG